rnacentral:rRNA from 1 species
CGGCAAACGGGUGCGGAACACGUACAGAACCUUCCUUUAAGUGGUGAAUAGCCCGAAGAAAUUCGGAUUAAUACACCGUAACAUUAUGGAGUGGCAUCACUUUAUAAUUAUAGAUUUAUCGCUUAAAGAUGGCUGUGCGGCUGAUUAGGUAGUUGGUGUGGGUAACGGCCCACCAAGCCUGCGAUCAGUAACUGGUGUGAGAGCACGACCAGUCACACGGGCACUGAGACACGGGCCCGACUCCUACGGGAGGCAGCAGUAAGGAAUAUUGGGCAAUGGACGAGUGUCUGACCCAGCCAUGCCGCGUGAAGGAUGAAGGUCCUCAGGAUUGUAAACUUCUUUUAUCUGGGACGAAAAAAGGCUAUUAUUAGUCACUUGACGGUACCAGAGGAAUAAGCACCGGCUAACUCCGUGCCAGCAGCCGCGGUAAUACGGAGGGUGCAAGCGUUAUCCGGAUUUACUGGGUUUAAAGGGUGCGUAGGCGGGUAGGUAAGUCAGUGGUGAAAUCUUCAAGCUUAACUUGGAAAUUGCCGUUGAU